UAUAAAAGAUGGCCUGCAACAAAACAGAUGUUUAUUGAUGCAAGAUGCACUAAUGGUGGGCCCUGUUGUAAGUGUGUUAAUCCCACUACUGAUGUUUUGCACCUCCUGCCCUAAAGAUGUGCAGCCCAGGCUGAAGAGUGCCCUGUGCCACAUGUUCCUUGGUACAGGCAGUUUGGGAGAACACACUAUGACACUGAUCUUUGUAUGAAGCUUUUUACUAUUUGUGUGCUCUGAAGUCAUGCGUAUAAAUACUGAUUCAAUUCAUCUUCACUGGAAGCCUUGGGUGUGGAUGAUAAAACUGGUAUUGAAACCUGCAGGACACUUCUGUGAAUCUGAAGAGGAACCUUAUGACAAG